AGAGUUUGAUCCUGGCUCAGGAUGAACGCUAGCGGCAGGCCUAAUACAUGCAAGGCGAACGGUAAAUGGGAUAGCAAUAUCUUAUGAGAGUGCCGCAAGGGUGCGCAGCACGUAUGGAACCUGCCCGGGGCAGGGGGAUAGCCCGGGGAAACCCGGAUUAACACCCCGUAGCACAAGAGGACGGCAUCGUCUUUUUGUUA
rnacentral:rRNA from 1 species